rnacentral:rRNA from 1 species
UACGGAGGGUGCAAGCGUUAUCCGGAUUCACUGGGUUUAAAGGGUGCGUAGGUGGGUAGGUAAGUCAGUGGUGAAAUCUCCAAGCUUAACUUGGAAACUGCCGUUGAUACUAUUUAUCUUGAAUAUAGUGGAGGUGAGCGGAAUAUGUCAUGUAGCGGUGAAAUGCUUAGAUAUGACAUAGAACAUCGAUUGCGAAGGCAGCUCGCUACACUAUUAUUGACACUGAGGCACGAAAUCGUGGGGAUCAAACAGG